rnacentral:pre_miRNA from 1 species
UCCCAUGGAUGAGCAAAGAAAGUGGUUUCUUGAAGUGGAAUCUACUCCUGGUGACAAUGCUGUAAA